CCGUUUGUACCGUAGUCGGGGGCAACAGAAAGCGUCUGGCUUGGUUUGGACCCCCGACCCCGGUACGGUUUGUGGUGGCGCAGUGCCGUGAGUUUAUGCAACGCUUUUUGCUUGGGUUAAGGAGAGCCAGUGUGCAGACUGCGACGAGUCACGAGAUCCACAUAGCGGACUGGGGUACUACUCGCGGUUCGAGCCGCGCCGCUGCGGCAGGCACGAGGAGGGCGGGAGGGGAGCCGAGGUGCCGCAGGCGGGGAGGGGGUGGCGGCGCAGUACGGAGCGGCUGUGGCCGUGGCCGGGCGGAGAUUCGCGCCCUGGCCUGGUUCUCGUGAGACCGCGCGGGCCCGUUCUCCUCCGCCGCCAGAGGAGGGGGAGGGUCGGCGCGAGCGCGCGCUCGAGCGUCGACUCGGUGACCAGGGCGCGCGCGCGAGAGGCCAGGCCCGCCUCCGACCUCGACGGCCAGUAUGCCCGCUCGCGCCGCGAGCUCCACGGCUGGUUCAGCGGCGGCGGGUGGCUCGUCCUCCCGCGUCGCUGCCUCCUGCUGCUGCUACCGCUGCUCCGCCAACCCCAGCCUUCGCUCCGUCGCCCCUUGAGCUAGAUGUACCACAGCCUGCCCUGCCCAAGCUGCGACCUCGUGAGCCACUUACGGCACGAGCCCGUUAAGCUCGUGACGGAGCAGCUGGCGGCGACACGGUGUUCGUGGGUGGACAAAAGACCCUAACUACUGUACCUAUUGGAAUAACUCUAUCAUUCCGUUCGUCGUUUUCUUCCUCGUAACGAAGAUAUAUGGGAACGGCUAGGAAGUUACCGGCUCCGUUGAUUCUUCCGAACACUAAAUACCCCACAAGGUAGAUGGCUACAAGAAGCAGGAUGAUAACUGCGCUAUCGAAGAGUAUAACCACAACGAGGUAGACCAUAAAGUGCUUCGAGACGAUCGGCUUUCCCAGUUGAAAGACUCCUAAUGAAGGUUGCUUAACUUCGCUAACUAAAAUGGUAGUUUGUUCUACUACCGCGAGUCGGUGUCUUGGAACGGGCACGUGUGUAACACGAACAACCACAAAGUGCAUGACCCUUUUGUGGUAACAGUUAAAUAGAUCGUGUUUUUCCCAUGUUUCACCGUUUGCAGGGUUAACACUACCCAUAACUAGAAGGUUUCCGGGAUAAACUCUGGCUGGUCCUAUUCUAGAAACCCAACUGCUAUUUGGGGCACCAAGAAGUCCGUUAGUCUUUCUGCUCUCGUUUGUGAGAUCCUAAAGUACCCGUCUUCUCGUUAAUACGACUUUACCUCGUACACUCCGUCCUCGAGCUGGUACGUUUAGUUUAAAAACAAGCCGUGGGUUGUACCGGUCACUAGGUCCAGUGACCUUUUCGGCAUCUCCUUUGCCGACGACAGUAACAAUCUUAUAUAGUACUGUCCUUUGUCUUCACGAGGUACGGUGCGUAUAGUUUUGCCAUGAUCGUGGUACAAGAUAGGUAAGAUGACGCGGAACAUUUCAUACUCACGAAACUAUUCGCGGUACAGUCGUCAUGGAAUCGGCUGAAAGAAUAAUAAUCGAGAAUGGUAGAACGAAAGACACUGGUGACUGGUGGAAGAUCCACCGAAGACAUAGACUUUCUAUUGCUCAAGUGUCAUAUCACGUCGUCCUUUAUUUACAUAUUAAGCAAGAGAUCAAAAAGUAAGGAAUUUAAUAAAAGUCAAUAACUUGAUAAGAAUCAGACAAUUCAUUUAACAUCCAACUUGACUCAAACAAUCUUUUUACUUUACUUUUUAGUCGCGUUAUAUAAAGAACGUUUUUUAUCCUGAGAGACAGUCAUAUUUUACCAAUCUACACCUGGUAUUACAGGAAUAGGAGGACUUUUUCGAGACGAUUCUGUCCCACGUACCCUGUAGUGUUGCUAAACAGGAGGAUUCGAACUAGUGAUCUUAGUAAACACGUUCCUACACAAGUGAGAAUGUAAGCUAUACUUCCGGUAUAUUUUCAUUAAAGUCAUUCUAGUACUUGAUCGUUAUAAAAAUGAGAAGAAAACUAGAAGUAAAGGAAACAAAUAAAUAACAAAAGUAAUACUCCAAAGAAGUUUAAACUGUUGGGAACAAAAAACCUUCAUACGACGGAAGAUGAAACACCAACGGCCAACUUCAUGUGCAGAAUAGAACACGUAAGCACCAACUUUCAUGAGGGAGACAUUUGAUUAUAUUCUCGCAAAUCUAGAGAUAAAAUCAUAAGAUUUGCGAGAAUAUAAUCAAAUGCCUCCCUCAUCUACUAUUUAAAGACUGGUCUACACGAAGAUGUUUUUACAUCGAAGAGAAAGUUUGGUCCCGGUCGAACUUAGUCUGGACACCAUUGUCUUCAGACCAACUCGACUAGUCCUUAGACCGAUAUACCAUCGACGUCGUCGAGUUCCCGACUGAUUUUCUGAGGAAUCUAUUAGGAACAAACCACCAUGAACUAUAGGACAAAGAAAAACUAUGUUUCACUUCUAUUUAAACCUUCCGCGAUGAAAGUUAGUUGUUUAUGAGGACUGUAUUAGGAACAAAUUUUGGCUCUGGUCGGUCCUGAUCGUGAACCGCCGUAUAAAACUAUCCUCCUCGUUGGUGCUCGUGUGGCGCAUCUCAGGUCCUGAGCCUUGCGUCCACCCAACGCUCGCGUACGCGUGACGAUCGGUUGUCAGAGUGUCUUAGGAACAACACCAAGAACAAUAGAACAAAGGUAAACCAUGUUUCAAGUUUAACUUAAAAAAUUCUGACAGAGACCUUAGUUGUUUGACGGAGGACGAGUGAAACAUAGGACGUUUUCCCAAAGUUCGGGUACCGUCGACAUCGAUAGCAGGUUGGUGUACAAAAAAAGACUUUAUAGGACCUAUACGAGGUCCUACAAAAGUAACGUGGCGCUCAUACUACGAAUCGACCCCAGGACUUAAACAUACGUAACUUUACUUAUAGAGUUCCUUAUACAAAUACAAGAACGUCCCAUCGAGGUUAAGCUCAGAUGCCAAGAAACAGUCUCUACCAAUUGUGAGGACAACUCGGACUUUUCCAUAACCGAUACCUACAUACUUACACAAGACGUCGUCGCUUCGCUUUAGUCUUUAAUAUCUCGGAUGAUAGGACAUGAACACACAGUGUUGAGGCGCUAAUCUGAUCAGUAACACGUAUCUUUUAUUCUCCCCCGGUACAGUUUUGACGAGAAGUAAAUUUAGUAGUAUCGGACACGACAGUACACAACCAACAAGUAACCAAAUCAAAAGGAAAGUUCAGUUCGUGGGUACAGUACAUGUUGGAGAAGAUCCUUACUGGGUCCGUUUCUGUUAAUAAGGUUUUUGUAGUCACAUAUAAACACAUACGAAUACACACGUCAUACGAAUAAACACAUAGCGGCAGCGUGGUUUCGCUGAACAUAAGAAAACUUGUUACUCUUGUCUUUUUUCCCCCGUUAUUGUCUUCUUUGGUCUUAUCUUUCCCACUUGACGGUAGUGUUUGAAGAGGUAGUCCCGUAGUUGGCCGGAUUAGAGAAGCGACGGCAGACGAUACAUAAGACGACACGGAAGGGUAUC
rnacentral:rRNA from 1 species